CCCUUAGAUGUUCUGGGCCGCACGCGUGCUACACUGAACGGUUCAAUGGGUAAGGUAGUGCGAAAGCAUGACCUAAUCUCGAAAUCCGUUCGUGCUGGGGAUAGAAGCUUGCAAUUAUCCUUCUUGAACGAGGAAUACCUUGUAAGCGUGAGUCAUCAUCUCACGCUGAAUACGUCCCUGCCCUUUGUACACACCGCCCGUCGCUCCUACCGAUUGAGUGUUCCGGUGAGGCUUUGGGAGAUUGGCCUCAACAUGAGUUUAUCGUGUUUUGCCGUUUGAACUUAGUCAAACCUUAUCACUUAGAGGAAGGAGAAGUCGUAACA
rnacentral:rRNA from 1 species